GUGCCAGCCGCCGCGGUAAUACGAAGGGGGCUAGCGUUGCUCGGAAUGACUGGGCGUAAAGGGCGCGUAGGCGGAUUGAUUAGUUAGGCGUGAAAUUCCUGGGCUUAACCUGGGGGCUGCGCUUAAUACAGUCAGUCUAGAGUGUGGAAGAGGGUCGUGGAAUUCCCAGUGUAGAGGUGAAAUUCGUAGAUAUUGGGAAGAACACCGGUGGCGAAGGCGGCGACCUGGUCCAUUACUGACGCUGAGGCGCGAAAGCGUGGGGAGCAAACAGGAUUAGAAACCCGAGUAGUCC
rnacentral:rRNA from 1 species